rnacentral:misc_RNA from 1 species
UUUGCAAAAGAAAAUGGAAUUGACAUGGUUACGAUGCAUCCAGGAUCGGUGAUUGGUCCUCUCUCGCAGCCAACUCUUAAUAUCACUGUGGAGAUGAUUCUGAACCAUAAAAAGAUGCACAGAUGACAAGCCUUUCGUGAAAAAAUUUGAGGUAUCCAAGAAGAAAGCAACAGCUUUGGGUCUUAACUUCACUCCAUUGGAGGUUACCAUUAAAGACACCAUUGAAAACUUUAAAGAGAGAGGUGAUCUUAGUAUCUGAAUGAUGUGAGUUACCCAAAUGCCUUAGUGAUACAUGUGAAGCUCAAGCUCCUAUUUCUUACAAGAUUGUAUGUGGGAUGCAGCCAUAAAUUUAGUUACUUGUCCCUCUAAAAGGGUGCUUCUUUUGAGGUCUAGAUGAUUUAUGAUUAUUGACGUUUACCAUUAGCAAAGUUGUAUUCUUACAUGGUUUUCCAUAUCUUGGUGCAUUUUAUUUGAUUUCUAAAGAAAAUUAUUGUAUUGUUUCGAUUUCCAAAGAAAAUCCUAAUUAGAA